rnacentral:rRNA from 1 species
UGCAGUCGCACGAGAAAGGGGCAACCCCGGUACAGUGGCGCACGGGUGAGUAACACGUGGAUUACCUGCCCUGGAGUGGUGGAUAACCUGCCGAAAGGUGGGCUAAUACAGCAUGAGACCACGCGGUUUCGAUCGUGAGGUCAAAGCGGGCUUCUGUUCACAAGCUCGCGCUCUAGGAUGGGUCCGCGGCCCAUCAGCUAGUUGGUAGGGUAACGGCCUACCAAGGCAACGACGGGUAGCUGGUCUGAGAGGAUGAUCAGCCACACUGGAACUGAGACACGGUCCAGACUCCUACGGGAGGCAGCAGUGGGGAAUCCUGCGCAAUGGACGAAAGUCUGACGCAGCGACGCCGCGUGGGUGACGAAGGCCUUCGGGUUGUAAAGCCCUGUGGGGAGAGACGAACUGGCUGAUGGCUAACAUCCAUGGGUCUUGACGGUAUCUCCUUAGCAAGCAUCGGCUAACUCUGUGCCAGCAGCCGCGGUAAGACAGAGGAUGCAAACGUUGCUCGGAAUUACUGGGCGUAAAGCGCGCGCAGGCGGUCUCGUAAGUCGGGUGUGAAAGCCCCGGGCUCAACCCGGGAAGUGCACUCGAUACUGCGAGACUGGAGUACUGGAGAGGAGAGCGGAAUUCUCGGUGUAGAGGUGAAAUUCGUAGAUAUCGGGAGGAACACCAGUGGCGAAGGCGGCUCUCUGGACAGAUA